CAUGGAGGAGAAAGCUUGAGGAGUAUGACAGACUCAUGAAGAAGACUCCUGGGGAGAGAGAAUCAUUGCUGUGAGGCUAAAAUCCCUCACCAACAGGAAGUAACUUUGAACAGAGUACACACUUCCUUCUCACACCACCCAAAUGGAGCAGCAUUCAAGAAUGACACCAUGCAGGAGGGAGCGUUUGAGGAGUAGGUUCUCUUCUUAGUUUGCUGCAGCGGACUCUGUAAUGUGAAAGAAAGCUAGUACUAAGCACAAGCCAAUUUUUCUGAGCUAAAAUAAUCCACCUCAAACAAGAACAUCUGCAAACCUAACCCUGGUGUUGAAAUUCAUCUCAGAUCCUUCACAAAAUGAAAGUAACCCAACAUUUAGAAAGACUAUCUCUCCACACUAUAAAGACUUUCCAAAUCCAGGAAUAUCCUUCCACAUGGACAUUUAUCAAGAGGAAUCUGUACCAUGAGAUCUGAGAAAGCUGUAGCCUGCUUUUCCACAUUUACACUUUCAAAGGGAGUAUAGUUGUGUUUUCACUUUGAGUCUUUAAAAAUGAAAAAUGCUGGUUUUGCUCAAAAUGAUAUGUACUACGGGUCUUCUGGGUGUCCUUUUAUUUUUUUAUUCUUUUGGCUAAGAGCUGGAGUCAUAAGCCUUUCUUGUGUGAAGUAUAUGGAUAAACCCCCUGUCACACGCUGUACUUAAGGAAUUGAGUUUGCGUGGCAGAGAUUAAACAUGUAAGGAAGGAAAAGCUGCUAGUUUAAGAACUGAACCCUUCCUCUCCCUGGGCAUCUAAUUGAUUGUGUGGAAGCUGCCCACACGCAGCACUGUACACUGCUGGAAGCUGCUGAUCCUCUCUCCAAGCUGGCUUGGCUCAGCGGGAGCUCCCACAUCCUCCCAAUGUCCUGACAACUGGCUUCGUGCUUACGGGGUGAGCUGUCUGCCCCACGCACGUCCUCAAGUCAAAUCAUAACCUGUAGUAAAUCAGGUGUCAGUGUGAAUGUCUGGACAGUUUGAAAGAGGGAAAGGUGCUGAUUUGCAACAUAAUGGGUAAAUUGAUAAUUAGGCCAGCCAAAGAGCAGCACAAAGCUGAGUACCUUAAUUCCACAGCAAAGAGCAGCAGGAGCUGCAUCCCCAGUCUGCAGUGUCUGCCCGGAAUCAAAAAGAGAAGAUUGAAAAAACAAAGGUGGAAAAUCAGGUGCUAUAAAUAGUGCUGCCUUACAGAAGUAUAAUGGUGUUUCAUCAUGCAGAGCCAAAAGGAUGUUGGUGGAAGACCUGAGCAGCCCUGCAGGGGGACAGAGAAACUUCCAGACCCUACUAAUGCAGUUGUAUCUAGAGGGCCAAUACGAAGCUGGAAUCCUGAUCUGCUGGAUAGAUGUGUGCAUUUAGCCCAAGAAAACUGUUCAUUGCUCUGUGUGUGUUUACUCUUUACCCUCUCUCCCUUCCCAGCAAUCUGUUCUGCCUCCCUCAGCUGGAAAUCAGGCAGAGUGGUUGCCACUUGUGCCUCCUGUCCAGCUGCAAGUGCUUUGCUGACUACCAGUUGCUUGUGGAAUAGAGUGGGGACUCUUCUAUUCAGCAGAAAAACAGCAGCAGUGGUAACAUUUCCUGUGCACGGAAACUCAGCACAGCCCUUGCAGAAUAUUUUGGAAUACUGUCAUCUGGACAGCCUUGUCAGUCCACACUGUAUCUGGAGCAAUCAGAACUGGAGAGCUGACACAUUACCUAGUGGCAUUUACAGAAAAGGAAAUCUACUGCUCUGCAUCAAGGAGCAGUGUGCUUCUUCAGAAUGGAUAUAAGGGAAGUCACUCAUAAAAUUACACAGAAAUGCCUUAAAGCUUGUGUUAUACGUGGCUUCACACAGAUCCAGGACAUUAAGGCUGGCAUCUGAACUAAUUUUGUUUCUUGUUUUAAUUUUUAUGAAUGAUGUUAAAAUACGUUGUAUGUUCUUACCUGAAUCUCAUUGUCACCCCUUAGAUGUUGCACAAACCUCAGCAUGAAGAGGGGCCUGCAAAUCAAAUCUCUUGGUUUGCUUUGUAAAGAAGCCUUUGCUUUGUAAAUCCUGCUAUUGACCACGUUACUCUCUCAAGCAUUGCAGGGAUUUCCUGGAAGAAAAAACAAUUUAAUUCAACACUGUGUAUAAUUUGUUUAUAAU